rnacentral:misc_RNA from 1 species
AAGUCGUAACAAGGUUUCCGUAGGUGAACCUGCGGAAGGAUCAUUAACACGUUAUCCACGUACCUACCUCUUGCGAACUUUUUACUGUUUAAGAGUCGGCAGACCAGCGUAGAUGAUGGAGGUAGAUGUUACUAUGUCCAGUGUGAGGCCCGCCGCCCGCCCUGGUUCUACCUGCCUAACUGACUUCCCUCCCCCCCUCAUGUGCUGUGUGUAUUGGGGGGUGUGUGGGCGUGGUUGGAUAUUCUGGUUCAAAUGACUCGAAUCAUAGUAGUUUUUUGUAUUAACCCCUUUUUACAAAUUCGUUGAAUUGUGAUGGUCUGAAGGUAACACUUCAUACUCACGUUAAUAAAACACUAUACAACUCUUAGCAACGGAUAUCUCGGUUCU